rnacentral:rRNA from 1 species
UGAAGAGGGAAAAGCUCAAAUUUAAAAUCUGGCAGUGCUUUGCUGUCCGAGUUGUAACCUAGAGAAGUGUAGCCUGUGCUGGACCGUGUACAAGUCUCCUGGAAUGGAGCAUCACAGAGGGUGAGAAUCCCGUCUUUGACAUGGACUGCCAGUAUGUCAUGGUUGUGCUCUCAACGAGUCGAGUUGUUUGGGAAUGCAGCUCUAAAUGGGUGGUAAAUUCCAUCUAAAGCUAAAUAUUGGCGAGAGACCGAUAGCGAACAAGUACCGUGAGGGAAAGAUGAAAAGAACUUUGGAAAGAGAGUUAAACAGUAUGUGAAAUUGUUGAAAGGGAAACGUUUGAAGUCAGUCUUGUUGGCUGGGGAUCAGUCCAACUUUGUUGGGCGUACUUCCUGACUGACAGGCCAACAUCAGUCUUGACUGUCAGAAAAAGGUGAAUGGAAUGUGGCACCUUUGGGUGUGUUAUAGCUUUUCAUCAUAUAUGGCAGUUGGGACUGAGGAAUGCAGUGUGCCGAAAGGCUGGGUUUUUGACCACAUUUCGCACUGAGGAUGUUGGCAUAAUGGCUUUAAGCGACCCGUCUUGAAACACGGACCAAGGAGUCUAACAUGCAUGCGAGUGUUUGGGUGGAAAACCCUUACGCGUAAUGAAAGUGAAAGUUGAGAUCCCUGUCAUUGGGGAGCAUCGACGCCCGGACCAGAACUUUUGGGACGGAUCUGCGGUAGAGCAUGUAUGUUUGGGACCCGAAAGAUGGUGAACUAUGCCUGAAUAGGGUGAA